rnacentral:snRNA from 1 species
AGGGCAAUCUGGUUGGGAUGCCCGUCACUGCAUUAAUCACCAGGGUUGAUUCAGCUGAUCUGGCAGGCUCUGUGGGAGUCCUCUUCCUCCCUCACUACUCUGUGUGCAUCCCUCCCAAAGCUGUGUGCUCAGUGGAAGUGACCAACCAUCCCAUAUAGAAGNACUAUACCAUUAGUCAAGAGCUGUGCUCUCCUGCUAGAACCUCCAAGCAAAGAGGAAGAAAUAGAGGAGAGUGAGAUGUCUUUGCCUUUAUAUCUAUAGUCUGGGUGAUGAAUGACAUACAUUAUGAAAAUUAUGU